UACGUAGGGUGCGAGCGUUGUCCGGAAUUAUUGGGCGUAAAGAGCUCGUAGGCGGUCUGUCGCGUCCGUUGUGAAAACUCGAGGCUCAACCUCGGGCUUGCAGUGGAUACGGGCAGACUAGAGUGCGGUAGGGGAGACUGGAAUUCCUGGUGUAGCGGUGGAAUGCGCAGAUAUCAGGGGGAACACCGAUGGCGAAGGCAGGUCUCUGGGCCGCAACUGACGCUGAGGAGCGAAAGCAUGGGGAGCGAACAGG
rnacentral:rRNA from 1 species